AGCGAACGCUGGCGGCAGGCUUAACACAUGCAAGUCGAGGGGAGCGGCAGACGGGUGAGUAACGCGUGGGAACGUACCUUUUGGUUCGGAACAACACAGGGAAACUUGUGCUAAUACCGGAUACCGAAAGAUCGGCCCGCGUCGGAUUAGCUAGUUGGUGAGGUAAUGGCUCACAAAGGCGACGAUCAGUAGCUGGUCUGAGAGGAUGAUCAGCCAAAUUGGGACUGAGACACGGCCCAAACGCCUACGGGAGGGAGCAGUGGGGAAUAGUGGACAAUGGGGGCAACCCUGAUCCGGCCAAGCCGCGUGAGUGAUGAAGGCCCUAGGGUUGUAAAGCUGUUUUGUGCGGGAGGCGGUACCGAAAGAAUAAGCCCCGGCUAACUUCGUGCCAGCAGCCGCGGUAAUUC
rnacentral:rRNA from 1 species